rnacentral:rRNA from 1 species
UACGUAGGGUGCAAGCGUUAAUCGGAAUUACUGGGCGUAAAGCGUGCGCAGGCGGUUCGUUAAGUCAGCUGUGAAAGCCCCGGGCUCAACCUGGGAAUGGCGGUUGAAACUGGCGAACUUGAAUCUGGCAGAGGGGGGUGGAAUUCCACGUGUAGCAGUGAAGUGCGUAGAGAUCUGGAGGAACACCGAUGGCGAAGGCAGCCCCCUGGGCUAACACUGACGCUCAUGCACGAAAGCGUGGGGAGCAAACAGG